rnacentral:lncRNA from 1 species
UUCAAAACAUGUAUCUACUAAAAAUAAAAUGUUAAUGUGGCAAAAUAAGUAUCUCUUUUUUUUUCCUUAGGAAGAAGGGAUUUUAUUUAAUACUAAGGUUCAUCCAUACAAAAGGGAACGGUUCUAUAUGAGACAUUUUCAUUAGCAUCUCUAUCAAGACAAGUCGUAACGAGGGAAGGAGAUGCAUAAAAAAUAUAAACAUAAUUUAGAGUCAUAGUUGGAUCAUUUGACUUCCUUCCGUAUUCCGCUAGUUCGUCAGCUACUCCAUUAGCCUCCCUCGGUAUAUGAUUCAAUGAUGGUUCGUCCAGUUGUUGGAGCAAUGACCUGCAGUCAGCACAGAUAUGUGAGUAUAUAGCAUUAUCAUUAUUUAGAGAGUUUAGUAGUACCUGUUUCCACCAAUAAAUGUUUUAUAUUUUUUCUUUAGCAAGAGUCAGUCCAUGUAAUAAGGCUAAUAGUUAUGCAUGGUACACACUUUCCACUUUGGUUUUACAAGCAAACCCUGUUAUCCACUCUCCUGCUUGGUUCCUUAUUACUCCUUCGAUACCUCCAUUCGUUGUUUUAGGCUCAAAAGAUCCGUCAAUGUUCAACUUGAAGUAUUCAUCAGGGGGUUUAGACCAUGUGAUAGGGAUCGAUUGUUUUGGAUGAUUUUUUUUCGAAGGAUUAGAAAUAUGAAGGAAUUAAAGUGCUUGAAAAAGAUAUGUUUUGAAUUAUUUUGGUAAUGUUAUUUGGAGGGUGAGGUUUAAACACGUUACUAUUUCUUGUUUUCUAAAUAUUCCAAAAAAUAAUUGGUGUUAGAAUGGUUGUAGGCAUUCUAAGAUUGUUUCUAGUUCUGGACAUGGUCUUGGAGUGGCAUAGGCGAUAGAUAAUAUUGUUGUCAAAGUCAUUACUAUCUAUAUUUAUGUUGAACUUAUUCCAGAUUGUAGUAGCAACAUGGCAGCUUGCAAAGAUGCGAAUAGUAGUUUCAUCUCUAUUAGGGCAACUAAUACAAUUUCUGUGAUUGGUGAUAUUUCUAUAUAAAAAAAAAGUGAGGAGGAGGUAGGGAGUUUAUUGAGAAGAAGAAGCUAAAUAAAGAAUUUUAUUUUGUUUAAAGUCCUGAGUUUCCAAAUCCAAGUAUAAGUAUUUGGAAGACUUAUAAGAAGGUCGUUAUUUGCUUUUAAGAAGAGUUUAUAGGCGUUGUUAGUGCUAAAUUUCCCAUUGAUAUUUUGGUUCUAGUAAUAAACAUCAUUUUUUUGUGUAGAGACUUGGAUAUAGGUAUUUUGAAUAGAGUUUAUAAUUUCGCAGGGUAUUUCAAAGAAGACAUGAGUUAAGUUCCAAACAUUGUUAUUCAUUAUAUCCGACACUACAAGCUUAGUAUCUGUCUUAUUUAUCGGGCUGUGGAUAACUUCACGAAGAGUGUAUGACCCUUCGAUCCAUCUUUCAUUCUAUAGAUGGAUUUUUGUGACGUCACCCACGUUCCAUGAGAUCCCUUUAUGAAAUAGGGGGUAUGCCUUAACGAGACUUUUCCAAAUAUAGGAGUUGUAGGUAUGAUAUUUGUUUGAGAAAGUUCUAUUAUUUCUAUUUAUAUAUUUUUUGGACAGAACUUUUACCGAAAGACGAUCGUUUGUUAUUUAGAAAUCUCCAAUGUAAACUAGCUAGUAAGGAUAUAUUUUUCCCAUUAGUGUUUUUGAGUCCUAAGCCCCCCUGAUCUAUAGGGGUGGUACAAGCAUCCCAAUUUAUUAAAUGAAGUUUUCUCUUUUUCGGUGUUAAUCCCCAAAGAAAGUUCCGUUGGAUACGAUCAAUAUGGUUUAUAGUAAUUUGGGGCAGUAAGUUGCAUUGCAUUGCAUAUGUGGGAAUAGUAGAAAGGACGAAUUUGAUAAGAAUGGUUCUUCCCGCUAGAGAAAGGAAGCGAGUUUUACAUGCAUCCACUAAGCUUCUUAUUCAUAUGGUCUAUAAUGUAUUGAUAAUCAAGACUUUUCGAAUGAUGAUUUGUUAUAGGUAGUCCUAGGUAUUUCUCCAUUUUCUCAUAUUGCCGAAUAUUCAUCAUUGUGGAAAGGUCAUUUCUAUCUUGAAGGCUAACAUUUGUUGAAAACAUAAUUGAGGAUUUACUGAAGUUCAUUUUUUGGCCUGAUUGUUCCGAUAAGGUGUUGAAGAUGUGGAUUAUUGAGGAUGCAUUUAAAGUGUCGGCUUUAGCAAAGAGGAUAAUAUCGUCUGCAAAGAGAAGGUGAGAUAUAUGAACUUCCAUUCUACCAAUUCUAACGGGAUGCCAUAGGCUUUCUUGAAUAGCGAAGUGAAUGAGUCUGGAGAGAGAUUCCAUACAUAUAAUAAAUAAAUAGGAUGAUAACGGGUCUCCUUGCCUUAAUCCUCUCGAUGGAAGGAAGAAUUUUGUCGAGAUGCCAUUCACGUAUGGAUAUUGAUGAGGUAGAGAUGCAAGACAUGAUUAAUUUGAUAAUAUUAUUAGGAAAGUUUAGAAUAAUGAGGGAUUGUCUUAUGAAAGACCAUUCUAAUCUGUCGAAAGCUUUCUCUAGGUUGAUUUUGAGAAGCAUUUUACCAAAUUUUCCUUUGGAUUUUUGGAAGGAAUAGAUAGCUUCUUGAACAAUUAUUAUGUUGUCUAAAGCUCGUCUAUCAUGGAUGAAGCUGCAUUGUUGGGGGCUAAUGAUAUCAUCUAAGUAGUGUCUAUUUCUAUUAACAAUGAUGUUAAUAAUGGUUUUGUAUAUAGUGUUGCAUAAGCUAAUGGGUCUGUAGUGAGUAAUUUGCUCCAGAUUUUUAAAUUUGGAAUGAGACAGAUGAAAGUCUUAUUUAUUUCCGCGAGAAUGGAGGAAAUGCUAAAAGCAGUCAUACACGUGGUGACUACUGCUUCCUAUGUUUCUUUCCAGAAUUUUUGGAAGAAAAGUGGGUGAAGGCCAUCUGGUCCUGGGGGUUCAAGGGGUUGAAAGGAAAAAAUGGCAUUUUAAAUUUCUUCUCUAGUCAAAGGUCUUCCUAUAUUGGUACUAUUCUCUCGAGAGAUGGAGUUUUGACAAACAGUAGGAGCAGGGAGGGAGCUAUGGUUUAGAUCAGUAGUAUAAAUCUUUUGGAAGUGAUGAAUGAUUGUCUCAUUAAUGUUUAUAGGAUCGAACGUCCAAUUUCCUACUGAAUCGUUAAGACCUAUGAUUAUAUUUCUACGUAUAUUCUUAGUUGUGGAGAUAUCAGAGAACUUAGUAUUAGAAUCUCCUUCAUUGAUCCAUUGGACUCUAGACUCUAAUUUCCAAAUAACUUCUUCCCUUUUAAAGAUUUCGUUGAAGUCGUUGGUGAGCAUAUUCUCUAAAUCAUAAUGAAAAGGCUUUUUAUGGUCGAUAUUCAUAAGUUCGAGGUCGUUAAGGUGCUUUAAAAGAUCGUUCUUUUGUUUGAAGAUGUUCCCGAAAGUUUCAUUAUUCCAUUUCUUUGCAGCAUUAGUGAAAGCUAUCAGAUUUUUUUCAUAGUCAUCAUCUUGGUUCAGUGGCUUUUGACUUUGUUUGGGAAGUCUGGGUGUCGGAGCCACAUGGUUUCAAAUCGAAAAAGUUUGUUAGUCUUACGAUAGUUUUUAGAGAAAUUUAAUAUGAUGGGACAAUGGUCCGAGUGAGUACGAGGAAGGUGGUAUAUAUUAGAGUCAAGAAACAAGGUUAGCCAUUCAUGAUUAUUAAGAAAUCUAUCAAGUCUUUCCAUAAUGAGAGUCGAUUUAUUUUUAUGUUUGUUGGUCCAAGUGAAUUUUUAGCCCGAAAAACAAAGAUCUAUCAUUCCCAUGUCGUCUAGGCAUCUUAUAAAGGAAGAACAUUUAGUAUUAUUAAUCAGUCUUCCUCCUAAUUUUUCGGAAACAUUGGUUGCCUCAUUGAAAUCCCCACAUACAAGCCAAGGUCCAUUUAUAGUAGUUGCUAUGUUUCUUAGACUAUUCCACAGUAUAUCUCUAUAACUAUGUUUAUUUUUUGCGUACAUUAUAGAAAAGUAAAAUUUAGUCUUGGAGUUUACCUCAAUAGUUGAGUGAAUUUCUUGCUCGGUUAGAACGUAUGGUUCAAUUGUGAUCUAUGAGCUCCUCCAAAAAAGAGCAAUUCCACUUGAAUAUAUCCUGUUGCUAGGACUUGAAUAACAUCAGUGAAAUCCAGUGCCUGAAGUAAUGUAUCUUGG